UAUAUAUAUAUAUAUAUAUAUAUAUAUAUAUAACAAGUCUACAUGUAUAAUAAUCUUAUGCACUUUUACUGACCCUGUCUUUAUGAAAAAUUCGGACUUUUUUUGGUAUGAAGUGUACCUACAUGUAAGUUUAUAUAUAUAAAUAAAUGUAUAAAUAUAUCAUAUAUAUAUAUAACAAGUCUGUAUGUAUAAUAAUCUUACAUAUUAGGUUUAUAUGUAAUCUAUAUUUAAAUUCAUAUAUAAAAUAUAAAGUUUGCAUACCUAAGUUCAUACACAAUAAGUUUAUAACAUACUACAUAUAGUAUAUGUAAUAUAUAUACACAUAUAUUCCCUUACACCAAGAGUAAAGCAGAGGCUCUUGGGUCACCGAAUAUCUGUUUGAUUCUCUACCUUUUCCAGUGCUCUGGCAGUUAGGAUAGGAUGUAAUUAAUUCUGGCCAAUGAAAUGGGAGUAGAUUUAGUGGGAAUUAUUUCCGGGUCAAGCGGUGAGGAGCUGGUAUUCUCCCUCAGCUUUCUUUUCCUCUGCUGCUCUGAUCUUAAAGACCAUGUGUUCCGGAUGGUGCACAGUAAGAAAGGGGAGGACAGCUUGCGUCGGACUUGAUUGAUGUGGGUCAGGCCAGUGAGAUUUUGAUAAUUAGUUGUUACCGCAGCAUCACCUUGCCUAUAAAAAAAUAACCUCAUUGAAAUAUUACUUAUGGUGAUGACUGAGUUUUUUGGCACUCCCUUGAAUUUUAACCCAGGGCAGAGACUGCAUUCGCCUCCCCCUGGUGUGGCCCUGACCUUCUGAUGGAUGGAAGGGUGAGAAACGGAGGCCAACCAGGACUGAGGGGUGCGGGGGCACCCACCUUGCGGGCUCCAGGGGCAUGACUCGAGUCCUGUCCCAGCACUGCCGCUGGUCUAUUGUCACUGUGAGCACGUCACUUCCCCAUCUGCGAGAGAAUCUUUGGAAGAUUGCUAAGGCCCCUUUAACGGACUCUUGUAUUUUGUCUUGAUUGUAUAUUUUGUACACCUUUGUUGAUUUUAUUGCCUCGGUCAUCGCUUUUUUAUUUAACUUUUCGGAAGUAUCAUUGCCCGGUGAAUUGAAAAUUAAAGCCGGGGGUCGCCUGGGUGGCUCAGUCGGUUGAGCGUCCGGCUUGGGCUCUGGUAAUGAUCUCGCGGUUACAGGGUUCGAGCUCCGCACUGGGCUCCAAGCUCACAGUGUGGAGCCUGCUUGGGAGUCUCUCUCUCUCUCUCUCUCUGUCUCUCUCUCUCUCUCUCUCUCUCCCCCUCCCUCGCUUGCACUUUCUCUCUCUUAUAAUAAAUAAACUUAGCAAAAUAAUUUUUAAAAAUUAAAAACAAGUGAACAAAAAGACCUCUGGUCCUUCCCCGCAGAUGGUUCAGGACAGUGCUUCUCAGAGAACAGGAGCUUAUUGGAGAUGUUUCCAUUGGGGGCAUCAUCUGUCCAGGCUGAUAAUAAUGAGAGGUGCUGAAGCUACUAUGUGCCCGUGCUGGGGCGUCUUAUACAUUUUAGUACAUCUACGGGAGGAGAUGUUAUUAACCCCAUUUCCCACCACCAUUUUUUUUUUCUAUGAAAAUCCCCUAGGAGAACCCUCAGAGACAUCUUACGGAGGAGGGAAACUGAGACCAGCUGUCGGAGCGGGCUUUGAUAUCCAUUUCACUUCUGUCCAUUGAUUUUAAUUUGCAGUGCCCUCUGGAAAGAGACAAAAAAGCGUGCCACCCCCACCCAAGCCACCCCCUUUAUCUUUGUUUCGGAUGGCUCUCCAUCCGUAAUGCCGGUCAACCGUAGGUCGUCCUGCUCACACAACCCGAGAAGUGCUUUGGAUGAAGAUAAAGGUAAACUCUGUGGCAAUAUUCUCCCAAAGAACAGGCUUGCCGUUCCCUUUUUUUUCCCUAGAGAAUAGCUUGGUGUCUUGACCGGCUCUGUGCCUAAACGCACACUCAGCAGUUCUAAAGAAUGACAGAUUCAGCAAGCAGGGUGCGUGUGGCCCGCAGCGCUGGGCCGCCGAGAGGCGUCUGUUGGCUACAUAAGAGAAUAGGUAAUCCCAGCAAUUAUGUUCCCUUCCUUGACUCAGGGUAGUAGUCACGUAAACAGCAUUAGUUGGGAAUCAAGUCUUUGGUUCUGCCAGUGGCUGCUUUCAUCACUGCCUUACGGCAUGGCCGUGUGACUUUUGUCCUGGUGAUCCAGCGUUUCCUCCCAUCCAGGGAAUGGGUUUGGGCUCCCUGGGCUGCAGUUCUGAGCUUCGAACACGCUAGAGGCAUACGGAUUAACCCAGGGAAACGCAGAAUACCACCGUUAUCUGAAUAUGGCUCGUGGCCGAUUUGUGACCUCUCACUCACCUAUCUGGGGCAUGAUUAAAUAAUGCAAAUUCAGUAUAGUAAUUUCCCCGAGCAAACAACAUGACUUCGGUAAUUACACCAGCCCCAAAGUUCAUACAUUGCAGUACAAACAGGAACAUUAACUUGCACGAGGGGGUGCUUAGCAGCACCCAGUGUGAACCACUGGUCCGUGGGACUUGCGGCUGAGGUCCAGACCCGGCCUCUAGAAUGCCUGUUAUGAACAAGGCUCCAGGAAAAAAAAAAUAUAUUGACAGUCCCUUGGGAUUGGGAGUGUUCAAGAGUAGAGCUCGUGUCCUGGGUUUUCAGGUGUGUGCCGACCUUGGCCUCCUGACAUCCAACCCUUAAUGCGGGUGUACGAUUUCCAGCCUGACUCUCAGAGAAAGCUGUGUCCCUCCCAGAGGGCCCGAGCACACCUGGAAUUAAAGUGCGCACACUUUCCAGGGCCUAUCCCCGUCUUUGUACCUUAGCACUUUAUGCUCGUUUCAAGGGCUCUGGAUGUGCCCGAAGGCUGUCAAGGACCUAGUGGUUUUGGACCACCCUUCUGUGCCCUGGGGGCCAAAAAGAUAUUUUAUGAGAUGUUCCUAACGAUAACUCCAAAGAGCUGCAUGAGGUCUGGGAAGAGGACGCGGAGAGAGAAACUUCCCAAGUAAACCUCCAUGCCGUGGACCUGCGAAAGGUCAUUUUGAAUCGUUGCGACACGUACUCCCAACGCACCAUUGCGCAAAAGGCCUUACCUUGUUUCGUUUUGUUUUCUGUCCCUACUCACUGUAGCGUUUUACCCUCUAGGUGGAAAAAGGUAAGGCACGAUUACAAAGUCCAUUGUUCUUUGGGCAGCCUGGGAGAACAUGUUGCUGUCCCUGCAGUUUACUCACACGGGAUGCAAGGGAGUUCCCAGAAUCUCGUGGACGACGGUGCAGGGUUUCUGGGGACAACGUGAAGUGCAGAGCUGCGUGGGGGGCUCCGCACUGAUACAGAGCACACGUGGAGACGCCGUGCUCACUCGGUCCGCACCGAGCCCGGCACGCUGUCCACGGUCCUCUGGCUACGAUGCGAGGACGGCUGGACCUGCAAGAGUCUUGGUUGGAUCGUUGCUUCCAAAUCUUUUCUUUAUCUUUGCAACCUUAAGAAACAUGCAAUUCGUUCACUGAGAAGGGAGACAGCUAGAGAAUUCUGUCAUUCUGACCACGCCCUCAUAAGAGACUGGUUUUUCAGCUUGUCGGGAGAGGUGUUCCCUUGUAGGGGGUGUGCUUUUGUGUGAUCAUUUGCCUCUGCCCUGGGAUCCGUUCUCUGUCCCGCCCGGCUCUGUGUUGCCCAGAUCCUUCGCCAACUGAUCCCACUCCCGGUCUGGCCAGGUUUGGCCACUGGGAGGCAGUGGGAGAGACUGGAAUGUGGGAGCACGAGGGAGGCCAGGGUUCUUCUUGCCUUGUUUUGCUUUAGGGAGCGUUUCUUUCCUCUGUGGCUCCAGCACCACUGGCCAGACCCUCCCUCAGGGGCCUGGCUGCUGCCAGGCCGCCCUGACCAUGGCCCCAGGGCCCAGUGGACAUCUGGGCGGAAAUCUGAGGGACACGAGCGAGGGAACCAGGCGGGCAGCUGUGGGGGAGGAUCCCAGGACAGGUCAGGAGGGCAGUGGCUGGGGGUGGCGGGGGGGGGGGGGGGGACAGGUGGGGCUUCAUCUGAGUGACAUGGGACGCUGUUGGAGGUCAACCAGAAUGGCGUGGUCUGGCUCCCAUCCUGAAGGACUGGCCUGGUGGCUCUGUAAAGUGCUUAGAGGGUAAAGUGAAGGAACCAGCUGUCACUCAUCUAAGCAAGAGACACCGUGGCUCAGACCACAACGGGGGAGGCGGGGUAGUGAGAAGUAGCAGCUUCCCAUUCUGUAUUUUGAAGACAGAAUCCCCAGAAUUUGCUGAGAGAUGGGGCAUAGAGUCUGAGAGAAAGAAACGGGUGACAUAUGGCUGUGACGGUUUGGGCCCAAGCAAGUGGAAUGAUCCUGUUUCCUAGCAGGGGAGAGGCUGGGGGGACGGGGAGUCUCCUUUCGGCUGCAGUAAGUCCGAGGUGCCUGUGGGACACCGGAGGGAAAAUACCAGAGCCACGGGGAGACAUCUGGCAGGAGACAUCCUCCCAUCGGGCAUUUCAGGCUGGCAUUGGAAGAGAUCCGGGCAUGAGUGGAGACAGUAAAGAGGUCAGGGUCGCCCCCCCAUGACCCUCUGCCAGUUAGAAGUUGGGGACAUGAGCCUCCGUGAAUGAUGAAAAGAACCGAGAAAAAGAGGAUCUGGCGGCCAGGAGACAGAAGGGCGUCAAGGAAGGUGCACUGUAAGCGACAGGCCUGGGAGGUGACCAUGGGGUUCGGCCACCGCAGCCCAUGGCAGCGGCCUCCUGGGGAGGGCUCAUGGGAGACAGGGUCGUGGCCGUGGCUCAUGCUGCACAGCUAGAUCCAAGAGCUCCACACUGAACAGGGAGCAGAGAUGGGUGGUGGGGAGAGCAAUGUGGGUCAGGACAGGUUGGAUUUUUUUUAAAUGUUUGUUUAUUUAUUGAGAGGGGGGAGGGGCAGAGAGAGGGAGAGAGGAUCCCAAGCAGGCUCCGUGCUGGCAGCGCAGGAGAGGCGGGUGUUUAAGGAGCAGGAUGUUCCAGCAAGAUGGAGUGCUUAAUCCCUGGUGCGGAAGAGAGAAGGAAAACGGUGGGAGCGGAUCGCUGAAGCAGGGAAGAGGGGCGAGGUGUGCCAGCCGAGCGCUCAGCCUACAUGGGCUGGGGGACGGUCCCUUGUGGGACGGGGAGCGGGGUGCACGGAGAGAGGCGCAGGGAGCUGGUGGUGGGUGGCGGGUCUGGUUUCUUCAGGAACAGGAAGUGGUGGCGCCCCGGAUGUAGGAGGAGUCGGGGGCGUUGAGGACAGAGGGGCCGCAGGGGACAUCCCGCUAAUGACGGAAAUGCUGGCUGCCUCCGGGGCUGCAAGGCCCGUGCGCACGUCAUGUCACACACUGCGGUGUCGCGAGGGACACACGCUCAGAUGCACCGUUGCUGGAGCCGAGCCCGCGUGCACCGUCCCCGCGGUAGGCCGGCAGUUCGUCCCUAGAUGGAUGGCGGGGACUCCCGCCAACCGAGAGCCCGUCCCGUUGGGCUCACCGACAGACAUCUCUUUGUGUUUUUAAGUUCAGAUGCACAAAGUGGCUACUCUUUGGGUGACCAGAGAUCACAAAAUGCCCUGCCUCAUAUUCUUCCUCUGUUCCGCUUUCACGGAGAGCAAGCCCGCAAAAAACAGCAUUGGAAUAGCCCGUUGGGAAGAUCUGCAUCUGUUCUCACAAUGUGCCUAUUGCUCGAGAUAUUUUGGAACUCCUUUUAAACGUUUUUGAAAGUUGAGGGCCCCUGCGAGCUGUGAAGAGCAGAAUUACCGAUGUUACCACGGAGUAUUUGUGCAAGUACCGAGCAAAACCGUCCGCACCGAAGAGGCACAUAAAAGAUCCCGUGAAAACGUUUGCCGACGGCAGGGUGAAAUUCCCACAUCAGCCUCUGUCCACAUCUCACCCGCCAGUCGGUGUGGCUCUGACUGACCCUGGUUAAUGAAAACUGGGGUCAGUUUCAGGCUGAAUUGCUCGCACCCCAGGGAUUGCCCAGUGUAUCUCUCUCUCCCUUUUUAAACAAAGAACCAGUAACUUCA